rnacentral:rRNA from 1 species
UGACGACGGCGGGGGCCCUGGGCAGAGUUCUCUUUUCUUCUUAACGAUCUAUCACCCUGAAAUCGGUUUGUCCGGAGCUAGGGUUUAACGGUCGGAAGAGCCUAACACCUCUGUUAGGUCUGGUGCGCCCUCGACGUCCCUUGAAAAUCCACGGGAAGGAAUAAUUCUCUAGCGAGGCCGCACUCAAA